rnacentral:rRNA from 1 species
CACGGUGGCAAUGGCGAAGGGGCCACACCCGUUCCCAUCUCGAACACGGAAGUUAAGCCCUUCUGCGCCGAUGGUACUGCCCGGGCAGUCCCGCUGGAGCGGGAUAGGAGAGUAGGACGCCGCCGGGA